CUAGUCUUGAAGCUGCAGGAUGAUGAAGAGGCUGCUUUCUGCUCUGCGUGGUAAACACCUGACUAAAGUUUCCGGCAGCUUCUCGGGGCCAAGUGCCAACCCCUAAGACAGCGUCUUGCUACAUUGCUUUGGGGCCUUACUAAAUUGCUGAGGCUGGCUUUGAACUCAUGAUCCUCCCGCCUUAGCCUUCUGAGAUGCUGGGAUUGCAGUGAUAAACACAGGCAAACUCAAUUCCUGAGGACCUGGGACAGCCUUGGAUCAGUGCAGGGAGUUUUUAGGACCAGGAGUUCAUCAUCACAGUGGCGCUGUAUUCUCUCCGACCAGAUCUGCACUAGCCCAGG